rnacentral:SRP_RNA from 1 species
GCUGGGCAUGGUGGCGUGUGCCUGUAGUCCCAGCUACUCUGGAGUCUGAGGCUAGAGGAUCUCUUGAGUCCAGGAGUUCUGGGCUGUAGUGCGCUAUGCCGAUCAGGUGUCUGCACUAAGUUCAGCAUCAAUAUGGUGACCACCUGGGAGUGGGGGACCACCAGGAUGCCUAAGGAGGGGUGAACCAGCCCAGGUCGGAAACGGAGCAGGUCAAAACUCCCGUGCUGAUCAGUAGUGGGAUCACGCCUGUGAAUAGCCACUGCACUCCAGCCUGGGCAACACAGCAAGACCCCAUCUCU